UACGGGGGGGGUAAGCGUUGUUCGGAAUUACUGGGCGUAAAGGGCUCGUAGGCGGCCAACUAAGUCAGACGUGAAAUCCCUCAGCUUAACUGGGGAACUGCGUCUGAUACUGGAUGGCUUGGAUUUGGGGAGAGGGAUGCGGAAUUCCAGGUGUAGCGGUGAAAUGCGUAGAUAUCUGGAGGAACACCGGUGGCGAAGGCGGCAUCCUGGACCAAUAUUGACGCUGAGGAGCGAAAGCUAGGGGGAGCAAACGGGG
rnacentral:rRNA from 1 species